CAUUAAGCACUCCGCCUGGGGAGUACGGUCGCAAGACUGAAACUCAAAGGAAUUGACGGGGCCCGCACAGCGGUGGAGCAUGUGGUUUAUUUCGAAGCAACGCGAAGAACCUUACCAGGUCUUGACAUCCUCUGACAAUCCUAGAGAUAGGACGUCCCUUCGGGGGCAGAGUGACAGGUGUGCAUGGUUGUCGUCAGCUCGUGUCGUGAGAUGUUGGGUUAAGUCCCGCAACGGCGCAACCCUUGAUCUUAGUUGCCAGCAUUCAGUUGGGCACUCUAAGGUGACUGCCGGUGACAACCGGAGGAAGGUGGGGAUGACGUCAAAUCAUCAUGCCCCUUAUGACCUGGGCUACACACGUGCUACAAUGGACAGAACAAGGGCAGCGAAACCGCGACGGUUAAGCCAAUCCCACAAAUCUGUUCUCAGUUCGGAUCGCAGUCUGCAACUCGACUGCGUGAAGCUGGAAUCGCUAGUAAUCGCGGAUCAGCAUGCCGCGGUGAAUACGUUCCCGGGCCUUGUACACACCGCCCGUCACACCACGAGAGUUUGUAACACCCGAAGUCGGUGAGGUAACCUUUAGGAGCAGCCGCCGAAGGUGGGACAGAUGAUUGGGGAAGUC
rnacentral:rRNA from 1 species